UUAAGUUCAGCGGGUAUUCCUACCUGAUCCGAGGUCAACCUUGUGUUUGUGGUUCUUUUCACGGCAGGCGCCCGCCGCGGGCCCUGAGCGAGGCAAAAGCUACUGCGCUCGGGAUCGCGGCGAACCCGCCACUGGAAUUCGGGGCCUACGGCGCACGUAGGGGCCCCAACACCAAGCGGGGCUUGAGGGGUUGAAAUGAC
rnacentral:misc_RNA from 1 species